GAAUUUGAGCUAACAAAAACUCUACACAAUGCACGCAAGUGAGAUAGGGUUACCCGGAGUGCUAAAAUUAAAAAAUAGGGGAAUAGGGGUGGAAUAACCCUAUCAGAAAGGAGAGGGCAAGGCUGGUGCCGGCGGCCGGGGUAAAACCAGCUCUUCAAGUGGGCGGGAUUUUUCUUUGGGCUUAAAUGUCCGUAGCCGGUUUGGUAAGUUCCUGGUUAAAUCUGUUAGCUUAACUGUCAGUCAGCUGGGGAAUACUCCUUUACUAGGGGGGGGGAAAGGUUUGAGGUACUCCCGGGGUCCCGGGGAAAUGCGAUAAUCCUUGGGGGCACCCCCAGUGGGGGAAGGCGUCGAACUUGGAAACACGCCUGACGGUAAAGGCACGAAAGCCCUGGGGGAGCCAAACUGGAAUAAGAUACCCCGGGUAGCCCUUGGCCGUGGAACGAUGCCCCCCUAAGAAUUUUGGUAGGGCUUUGACCCGGGCCAGGCCGUCCGAAAAAUGUUAAACUCCCCCCUUGGGGAGGGACGCCCGCAAGAGUGAAAUUAAAAAGGAUUUGCGGCGGGCAAGGGGGGAAUUCUUUUAAACCUGCCGGACUAAGUCCCUUUAGGGGGGGUUAAUUCUGAACUUGGGUACCGGGCAUAAGUUUUUCCCGG
rnacentral:rRNA from 1 species